rnacentral:tRNA from 1 species
GAGGAUUUGGCUCAGUGGUAGAGCGCUUGCCUAGCAAGCACAAGGCCCUGGGUUCGAUCCCCAGCUCA